UACGUAGGCAGCAAGCGUUGUUCGGAGUUACUGGGCGUAAAGGGUGUGUAGGCGGUUCUUUAAGUUUGGGGUGAAAUCUCCCGGCUCAACUGGGAGGGUGCGCCGAAUACUGAGGGACUAGAGUACGGGAGAGGAAAGUGGAAUUCCUGGUGUAGCGGUGAAAUACGUAGAUAUCAGGAGGAACACCAGCGGUGUAGACGGCUUUCUGGACCAUUGCUGACGCUGAGACACGAAAGCGUGGGUAGCAAACAGG
rnacentral:rRNA from 1 species